rnacentral:lncRNA from 1 species
UUAUGGGGCUGGGGAGGGGGUUGUGGGGUUGGUUAUGGGGCUGGUUAUGGGGCUGGGAGGGGGUUGGGGGGGGUUAUGGGGCUGGGGAGGGGGUUGUGGGGCUGGUUAUGGGGCUGGGAUGGGGUUGGGGAGGGGGUUGUGGGGCUGAGAACAGGGUUAUGGGGCUGGUUAUGGGGCCAGGAGACAUGGUUAUGGGGCUGUGAGGGGGGUUAUGGGGCUGGGAAAUUGAGUUAGGGGGCUGGAAGGGGGGGUUAUGGGGCUGGGGAGGGGGUUGUGGGGCCAGGAGACAGUUAUGGGGCUGCUAUGGGGCCGCUAUGGGGCCGCUAUGGGGCUGCUAUGGGGCCGCUAUGGAUCACUUAUGGGGCAGUUAUGGGGUAUCUAUGGGACCGCUACGGGCUAUCUAUGGGGCAGCUAUAGGGUGGUUAUGGGACAGUUAUGGGGCCGCUAUGGGGCAGCCAUGGGUCACUUAUGGGGCAGUUAUGGGACUGUUAUGGGGCAGCCAUGAGGUGUCAAUGGGCUAUCUAUAGGACUGCUAUGGGCUAUCUAUGGGGCAGUUAUGGGGCAGCUAUGAGGCAGCUAUGGGGCACUUAUUGGCUUGUUAUGGGGUAGUUAUGGGGCAGCCAUGAGGUAUCAAUGGGCUAUCUAUGGGGUGGUUAUGGGCUAUCUAUGGGGCAGUUACAGGGUGGUUAUGGGGCAGUUAUGGGGCCGCUAUGGGGCUGCUAUGGGGCCGCUAUGGGUCACUUAUGGGGCAGUUAUAGGGUAUCUAUGAGGCCACUAUGGGGUSGUUAURGGAUAUCUAUGGGACUGCUAUGGGCUAUCUAUGGGGCMGCUAURGGGCMGYUAUGGGGCAGCUAUGGGGCCGCUAUGGGUCACUURUGGGGCAGUUAUGGGGUAUCUAUGGGGCCACUAUGAAGUGGUUACGGGGUAUCUAUGGGGUGGUUAUGGGGUAUCUAUGGGGCAGUUAUGGGGCCGCUAUGGGUCACUUAUGGGGCAGUUAUGGGGCCAUUAUGGGGUGGUUAUGGGGUAUCUAUGGGGCCACUAUGAAGUGGUUACGGGGUAUCUAUGGGGCGGUUAUGGGGCCGCUAUGGGUCACUUAUGGGGCAGCUAUGUGACAUCUAUGGGGCUGCUAUGGGGCCGCUAUGGGUCACUUAUGGGGCAGUUAUGGGGCCACUAUGGGGCAGUUAUGGGGCCACUAUGGGGUGGUUAUGGGAUAUCUAUGGGACCGCUGUGGGCUAUCUAUGGGGCCGCUAUGGGGCCGCUAUGGGGCUGCUAUGGGGCCGCUAUGGGGCACUUAUUGGCUUGUUAUGGGGUAGUUAUGGGGCAGCCGUGAGGUAUCAAUGGGCUAUCUAUGGGGUGGUUACGAGGUAUCUAUGGGACCGCUAUGGGCUAUCUAUGGGGCAGUUAUGGGGCCGCUAUGAGUCACUUGUGGGGCAGUUAUGGGGUAUCUAUGGGGCCACUAUGAAGUGGUUACAGGGUAUCUAUGGGGCGGUUAUGGGGCCGCUCUGGGUCACUUAUGGGGCAGCUAUGUGACAUCUAUGGGGUUGCUAUGGGGCAGCUAUGGGUCACUUAUUGGCUUGUUAUGGGGUAGUUAUGGGGCAGCCAUGAGGUGUCAAUGGGCUAUCUAUGGGGCAGUUAUGGGGCUGCUAUGGGGCCGCUAUGGGGCCGCUAUGGGGCCACUAUGGGGCAGCUAUGGGUCACUUAUGGGGCAGUUAUGGGCUAUCUACGGGGCAGCUAUAGGGCGGUUAUGGGGCCGCUCUGGGUCACUUGUGGGGCUGCUAUGGGGCAGUUAUGGGGCAGCUAUGGGGCAGCUAUGGGUCACUUAUGGGGUAGUUAUGGGGCAGCCAUGAGGUGUCAAUGGGCUAUCUAUAGGACCGCUAUGGGGUAUCUAUGGGGCAGUUAUGGGGCCGCUAUGGGGCAGCUAUGGGGCAGCUAUGGGGCCGCUAUGGGGCAGCUAUGGGUCACUUGUAGGGUAUUUAUGGUGCCACUACAAGGUGGUUAUGGGCUAUCUAUGGGGUGGUUAUGAGGUAUCUAUGGGACCGCUAUGGAGCCGCUCUGGGUGACUUGUGGGUCACUUGUGGGUCACUUGUGGGUCACUUGUGGGUCACUUGUGGGUCACACUUGUGGGGCCGUACCCAGCAGGUCGAGCGAGCUCUGGUGGUUGCUGACCACGACGUAGGGCUGCCGGGGGGGGAAGUGCUGGGCGCCGCGCACGGCCAUGCGGAUGCCGUAGAGAUGCUUCACGUGCUGCAGCAGCCCCCGCAGGAUGCUGGGGGGCGGGGUCAGCCGGGGACACGCCCCCCGGGGCCAGGCCACGCCCCCUUGGCCCUAAA